ACGAAGAAACCGGUUUCUGCAAUCAUCACGCAAGUAAUUAAGUAAUGAAUUGGUCGUGAAAAAGGAAAUGAUCAGAUGAUGCGGCGGCACAGGGUAAUCCCAUCUCCCACGGGGAGCUGGCAAAUCUCAAUCCUUGAAUCUUGUGCCAGGUACUUGUUGAGCUCCAUCACAUAGCCGCGAAGAGGCUUAAUGUAAUCCAUAAAUGGUGCAUCAGGCGACGCCGCCACAGAUCCAGCCCAUAGGGUGUUGUCGUAUCCGAUCAGCCCUCCAACCUUCACCAGAUCAAUUACCCUCUUGUGAUAGUUCAAGUAAUUGUUCUUAUCAGCAUCCACGAAAACGAAAUCGAACGUUCCCUUCUUGUUUUCCUGCAGAAUUGACACGGUUGAUUUAAUUAUCAAGCUGUUCUAGCUAUGAACUACGAUGAUCUUAAACUAGAAACGGUGCACGCACAUCUUUAAGCAGCUCGUCAAGAAAAGGAAGAGCAGGGCCUUCUUUGAAGUCGAUCUUAUGAGCCACACCAGCUUUUUCAAUGAUGGGCAAACCCAAUUCAUAGUAUUCGCGGUUCACGUCCAAAGCCAAUAUCUAAUCAAAAUAUAUUUAUGUGAAACAAAAUUCACUACUUUUAUGAUUAUGGGUAUAAUUUAAAGUUUGAUUAUGCUGUAAAAGUGAACCUUUCCAUCAGGGGGAAGAGCCAGGGCAGUGGAGAGAAGAGAAUAACCAGUGUAUACACCAAUUUCCAAGGUGUUCUUGGCAUUAAUGAGCUUAAUAAGCAUGCUCAGAAGUUGCCCUUCGUCUGGUGGUGUAGCCAUGAGGUUCCUGUUUCAUAAUAUCAUCACUAAACUAUUCAAAGAACUACUUCCCAUGAACUGGAACAAGAACAGUUUGUUGAGACUGCAUAUUUUUAACAUUUUUUUUUAUAUCCUCUAUCCUACAACUCAAUAAAUAUUAAUACUUUUUUAUUAACAAGGAGAAAAGGAGUAUGAUUUUACCAAGGGUGUUUUUGUGUCAUCUCGCGGAGCUUCUUCAAGCACUCGUGCUCUCUUGGAUAAACGUUGGUUUCAAGUAUGUACUACAAUAUAGUACAUUUGGUGGCGAUAACAUGAGACUUUGAAGCGAAAAUAUUGUUACAAUUUCAAAGAGAGAAUACAAGAGUUGCUGAAUGGACCUUAUAGAGUGCAUCGCUCUGAAGGUGACUCUUAAGAGGGGGAUCUUUGGUGUUGAAGAGAUGGUUUUUUGGUUCCUCUUCAUUAGCCAUGUCUGUCUUUAAUCUCUCGCUAGCUCAAGCUGCUUUCAGCCUUUAAACUACUGUUAUUUUUUACUUUAUGAAAGAUUUCUAUUAAUAGACAGCGACAUAAAAUAGGUACCACAUACUCUUCCUACUCGCGUUAACUUCUUUUUAUUUAUAGACUCACCUUAACUUCUUUUUAUUUAUAGUGUGUUUGGAUUGAGGAGAUGAUGUGUGAGGAUUUGAGAGAGUGAAUGUGUUAGGAUGUGAGAAAAAAGUGUGAAAAAGUGAGGUUGUUUAGAUUAGGAUAUGACAGGGUGUAUGUGUGAGAAAAAUUUAUUGGAGUUUGUGAGUGAUGUGAUGAUAGUGAGGGAGUUUUAUUUUUUUUUAAAAUUGUUAAAUGUUAUUUUACAAAUUUAUCCUUACGUAUUAAAAUUUUUACUAAUGAAAUAAGAAUUUUUUUAAAUAAACAACUUUAACAUAUUUCGUAGAUUUAAAAAUUAAAAUUAGAAAAUAAAUAUAAAUAGAUAUAAUUUAAAAAUUAUAAUUAAAAAAAAUGUAUUAAAAAACUUAAAUAAAAACAAAACUUUAAAUAAUUUCUUAAAAUAUUAAACAUACAUUAUAAAAUUAGAAAAAAAAUAACAUCUUAUAUAAAUAAAAAAUAAUAUUUUUUAUUAUUAAAAACCCUAUAGUAAUGAAAAAAAAAAUUAAAUAAAUAUAACGUAAUUAACAAUAGAAAAUAAUUUCAUAAAAAAACUAUUAUCAAAUAAAUUACUAAUUCAUAAACAUAAUAAUUAUAAAAAAAUAUAUAUUAAUAUAAACGCAACAAAAAAUUAAAUAAAAAAAACUUUAAAUAAUUUUUAAAAAUACUAAAUAUAUACUAUAAAGUUAGAAAAUAAAUCACAUCUUAUAUAAAUAAAAAAAAUAUUAUUUUUUAAUAUUAAAAACCCUUGUAGAUGAAUGAGAGAAAAUUCGAUGGGUCUUUUCCUCUACAUCUCUUCAUUUUGAGGGGAGAGGAUAUUUAUUGUUCACAGGUCUAUCCUCUCCUCCUGUUAUCUGCAAAACCCUGGAUCAAACCACUGAUAUCCCUUCACUUCUUUCCUUGUGAACAGUACAUCCAUAGAAACAAACAGAGUGUUAAUGUUUAUUUUUUUAUUUUUUUUUAAUUUAAAAUAAAUAUGUUGUCUUUAAUUUUAAAUUAGUAUUUGUAUUUCAUCUAUUCAGAUCAGAGUUCAAAGAAGUAAUUUCAUGAUACAUCCAAUAUUAAUUGGGAAAUAUACUCAAACAUAAGAUAAGAUGAAAGUAGAGGUAUCACCAUAUCAUAACUAAUCUAAUAAAAUAUAUGGACUAUUUUGAAAGGUGCCGGUAAUUUUUAUUCGUAAAUAUAUAUGAUAUAUUUUUUGUCUCCAGUAGUAUCUUGUUAUGAUAAUUACGGUGUGUUUAAAUAAACUUUUUUCUUAAAUAGACAAGAAAACAAAAACAAAAACAAAAAUGAAAUAUUUUUUUAUAAAUUAAAACUAAGUUAUGAAUAAACUAUGUGGUAGUUUUUUUAUAUAUUAUCUUUUCUAAAAGAUUAUUUUUACUUAUGUAAUAUAAGUAAUUUUAGCUUAUGAAAGAUUUUUUCUUAUUUUUAUUGUUGUAUAAAUAUUUGUGGACAAGUUUAUUCAAACAAUUUUGAAUUUAUUUUCUCACUAUUCAAAUACUGAGUUUGGAUUUCUUGAUACGGUUCUUUUAAAUGUUUGAAAGAAAAGAAAUUGAAUAUCUUUUCACUUUUUUUUCAAAGAAUUAAUGAAAUUAAAAGAGGGACACUUUAAGAUGUCUCAACCUGUAUACAAGAAUUUUGGAGCACAUACAAAGCUCUCACCUGCAAAAGGAAUGCAAUAACCUGUCCUAAAACUACUAAGAACAAAAGCACACUCCGAACAAAGUGCCAAAAAAAACUAAAUCACACCAAAAGAAUAUAUUUUCAUGAUUAAACAUUUGUGAACUAUUUUGCUCAAAAGGGAUAGAUGAAGAUUAAGUAUGAUAGUUACAUAACUCUGUUUUAGUCAUAUAUUCAAAUAAUUUUGUUGGUGUCGUUUUCGUAUAUUUAAAGCAGUUGUGUCCUUCACUAUCUAUAUUAUUGGGGUUUAGGGUUAGGUUUUAUCGUUCCUUUAUGGUUCCUCUUAUUCAUUAUUUACUGUACCCAAUGAAAAUAUUACCAACAUCUGCAGUUGUAAAAAGUGCGUAUGGAGUUCAAGUUAAAGUUUUGCCUGUUUAACACUUCAAUUCAUUGCAAUCAUGUGGAUUUAGGGACUUUAUUACAAUUUGAAUUAUAACAUUGAAAAUAAAUAAGUUCGAGAAGAAGCAUGGAAAUAAAAUAAAAUCACAAAUUCAAAAUAGAAUAAGAAAUGUCCAUUAAGCCGAAGACUACUGUGUAUUCAUAGUAUAAAAAAAUAUACAUUUAACACUGUUUAUAAUAAUAAUUUAAAUUAGAAAAUAAAAUAAUUAAAUUUAAUAAAAUAUAUAUAUAUAUAUAUAUUAGUAGAGGCUUAAAAGAAAAUAAUUAAUUUUUUUAAGUUAUGAAUCUUAUUAUUAAAAUAAAAAAUUUAAUAUUUUUUUUAAGUUAUAAGAUUUUAGUAUAAAUAGAAAAUUAUAAAGAGUUUUUAUAAAAAAAUAUUAUUAAAAUAUCAUUUAUAAAAAUAUAGUGUGAAUUAUUUAAAAAUAAAUGGCAUAAUACUAUUAAUUUAAAAUUGAAUAAAAUUAUUUGAAUUUCUUAUUACAUCCUUAUAUAAUUGAUUUUUAUUUUGAGUAUUUAAUAAUUUUUCUUCAAAUUAUAUUUUAAUCAAUUAAAAAAUUUAACUUAAAUAUUUAACAUUAACUCCAUUAGUGCUACUUCUCACAUAUUCCUAAAUGUAAAAUAGGCGUCACAAUAUUUGAAAUAUUACAAAAUAAUAUAAAUUAAAUUCUUAAUUUUUUGCAAUAAUUAAUAUACUGAAAAUCUAAAUAUACCUAAAAGGUUUUAUAUAAACAAAAUAUAAAUAAAUACCUUUUUAAGAACUUAAACAAAAAAAUAUAAUUAAUUUAUUACAUAUUUAGUCUUAAAAAAUUAUUAACUACUUUAGAAAAACAAUCAUAUAACUGGAACUUAUUUAACCCAUUGUUAAAAGUCAUUAUUUUGCAACUGUCCCAGCUGUGUUUACAUGUUCGUUGUUUGAUGGGUAUCCUUUCAGCACAUGACAAGAAAGAAACAAGAAGACCGGUUUCGGCAAUGUUCACAACCUAAUUAAGUAAUGAAUCAGUCGUGAAAAAGGAAAUGAUCAGAUGAUACGGCAGCACAGGGUAAUCCCAUCUCCCACGGGGAGCUGGCAAAUCUCAAUCCUUGAAUCUUGUGCCAGGUAUUUGUUGAGCUCCAUCACAUAGCCGCGAAGAGGCUUAAUGUAAUCGAUAAACGGUGCAUCAGGCGACGCCGCCACAGAUCCAGCCCAUAGAGUGUUGUCGUAUCCGAUCACCUUUCCGUCAGGGGGAAGAGCCAGGGCAGUGGAGAGAAGAGAAUAACCAGUGUAUACACCAAUUUCCAAGGUGUUCUUGGCAUUAAUGAGCUUAAUAAGCAUGCUCAGAAGUUGCCCUUCGUCUGGUGGUGUAGCCAUGAGGUUCCUGUUUCAUAAUAUCAUCACUAAACUAUUCGAAGAACUACUUCCCAUGAACUGGAACAAGCACGGUUUGUUCUAGAGACUACAUAUUUUUUAUUAGCAAGUACAAAAUGAGCAUGAUUUUACCGAGGAUGUUUUUCUGUCAUCUC
rnacentral:lncRNA from 1 species